rnacentral:rRNA from 1 species
UGAGCAAUCUGCCCUUCUCAUCGGAAUAAGCGUUGGAAACGACGUCUAAUGCCGAAUACGACCUCCUUUCGCAUGAUCGGAGGUGGAAAGCUCCGGCGGAGAAGGAUGAGCUCGCGGUCUAUCAGCUAGUUGGUGUGGGUAAUGGCCCACCAAGGCGACGACGGGUAGCCGGCCUGAGAGGGUGACCGGCCACACUGGGACUGAGACACGGCCCAGACCUCCGUACGGGAGCA